rnacentral:tRNA from 1 species
GAGGGUAUAGGUCAGUGGUAGCGGGCCAUGCCUAGCAUGCAUGACGUCCUGGGUUCAAUCCCCAGUACCUCCA